UCUCAUGCAAGAAAGAAGCUAUUCCGAUGUAAAGCAUUAUAUUGAAUUGUCUUACAUUGGUAUGGUUUCUUACUGGUAUGUAC